AUUUCAUGUGAGGAUAUUUAACUCUGAGAAGGUAAUGUUUCUUUAUGAAUAAAGGUGCAGUUUUAAAAAAAUACAUACACAGUUACCUCUAAUACUGUAUUCCUGAUCUCGGGGGAUGAACCAGCAAGCUCGUUACUAGCUAAAACCUGACAUAACUCAGGUGUAUUACAGCCUGCAUGUAUUCCCUCCAAUCUAAAAACCUGUUCUUAUCCUCUAUUAAUAUAUAUUUUCCUUUGUGUUAACCUAGAUACAAGUAGUAGGGCUCAGUUCUGCAGUUCUUUCUUUCUACAUUCAAUUCCUACAUUUAGAGGAAGUUAUACAAAAGUGAGAAGACAUUGGCUUUCAGAAGAUUUCUUCAUUGGAAUAAUUUCUCCUGAUGGUUUCAGAAGGUUAUUCUGCUAAAAGUUUGAAAAGCAAGGCUUUUUAAAUUCAGUUUAUGCAACUUUAUUUUCUGGAGGUAAAUUUUUCUUUUAAGUCACAGAAGUGUACAGGAGAAGCCAAAACCACCUAUUAUAUCACUGCUAAACAGAAGAGCUCUAAUAACUUAAUCUAGAUGUCCUAUUUAGCAGCCUUCCCUUCAGUAAUAGUCCAUAUGCUCUUCAAUUAACUCUUAGGUCUUUCUUUUAAUGAUGUACAGAACGGUAUAUGCACAUACUGUGGGACAGAGAUUACCUUCAAGCCUGGAGCUACUUGCUAUUUAAAAGCAGAAUACCUUGAAGUUGGGAGAUUUUGGAUCCUGUAGGGUAUCUGUUCUCAGCAGGCACAUAUGGGCUGUGCCUCCCCACGCUGGUACCAAACACCUGAAUGUUUCCUUGCAAGUGGCCACUAAAGUUACAAAAUGGGUAUGUGCAGUGCUGGCUGUGUUUUCUGUGAAAUCACAAGGUACAGUGUUCAGUGGAAGGCUUUUCUUAUUGUUAUUCAAGAUAAUCAAAAGUAAAUAAAUUAAGGGCACGUGGUAAUAUGAUCUUCGUUUCCAUGGAUUUGUGGAAGCUUCUUCUGUGCUUAAUCUGCAGGGUUCAUGAGGCAGUAAUCCGGUCUGGCCUGGCACUCUCUUCACCCUAUGGCAGUUUUCUUGGACCUGAUGAGCUGGACCAAAUUUCAAAAAUCCACAUUAUAGGCACUCUUGCUAAAACAACUCUCAAGAAGUUCAAGCAAACCUGGUGGAGGAGGAGGUUGGUUAAAAAUAACAUGAAAAGGAUUCUUUGAGCUCAAGUAUUAGGAAUGGAAUGUUAUCUACAGAAUAAUCUCAAGAGCAAGAAUGGAAAAAUAUCCCACCCUGGCAAGAAUUCUUGUAAAAUAAGGCUACAGCACUUAAACAAGGCUCUGCAGGGAAGCCUGUACUGCUGCUACUCGUCCUAGGUGUGCCAGAGGAAGAGCAGAUUUCUCUUACUAGGACUGAACAAAUACAUAAGCUGAGUUUUAGUGGAGGAAGUGCUCUGCACCAGUAGAGUGAGAACAUCAAAACAAAGGGAGAAUUGAACAGCAGAACACAGUGGUACAGGUGGAUCUUACACAGUGUGGCACAUACAGUGCUUCAAGGAUAUUUAUUUCAUAACAAGUUCUUUGCUGUUAAACCUCUGGAGACAAUUUACACUUCUCUGGCAGUUGGAUGAAUAAGCAAACCUGAGUUUUCCCACCUGCUUUAUAGUUACAAUACAUCAAACUUUAAACUGCAAAUUGGCAAGUAUUGUUCCUACCCUCAUUCUCUCAGCUAAAAUUCCAUAUUGAGAUUAUUUGUGUUCCACUCACUAUUAAUUAUUUUUUUUAAUGUAGUAGGAAGAAGUUUAUUAAGAGCUGUAUCUACAGUAGAACUCUUAAGUUCUUUCCUGGUAAGUUAUUAGUAUCCUAUUUAUUCCUAUAAGAUUUUUUUUCCCUAUGGUAGAGAGUGUGGCACAAGCAGUUCAAACUUCUAGAUGAUUGCCCAAGUAGUAAAGAAGAAAAGAAAACACACACAAUAUUCCUUGUGUGCUGCUGAACUAGGAUUUGUGGCAGGGACAACAUGGAUGCGAGUAGCUGCUGUUGUUACCCUGAUGUUGGAUACUGCAGUUCUUUCCAUACUGGUUUUGUAUUUUUCCAGCUGAAGGAAAAAAGUCUUUUAAAGUUACUGCAUAUUUUGUCAACUCUUUCAUUUUGACUCAGACCGUAUGAAGGGCAUACAUAAAAGAAGUCUACAGAGAGAUAACUACACUAGUUUUCAGUGACAAGGUUUAUCUGUAUUUUAACAGUUAAACCCACUAUGUUAAUAAAACAAGACUUCUGAACAAUAAUCCUGCUCAGUUUCAGUAUUUUCCCCAUCCCUCGUAUUUUAGAAGAACACAAAUAGAUAAGCAUUGUAAAGUACAGCUCCAUCUUGAAUAAAGUAGGCAACUAAUUCCCAGCUUAUAAACAAAUCUAGCAGUUCCCUACAUGGCUGCAUAGCAAGAUUAAGACUUAGUUACAAGGAGAUACUGCAGCUGCUUCUCCCAAAAUUUUUGUUAAUUUCUGGGGGAAAAAAUCACUUCUCAUGCCAGAAGAUGUCUAAAUUUUACAUGUAAUUAAAAAAUUUCUACCAGGCUCUAUCGUUGGAGAGCAGGAAGGGCAGUAACAUGUGCCUCAGAUACAGCUCGUACACCCUCAGGCAAGCAGCUCCAUUCCACUCUGCCUGCAGGAUUCCAAAAUCCCAAUUGGGAUCAUUGCUACAUAGGAUAAAGGGAAGAAUGUGACAGAUACUUCUAUUUUCCAAGGCUUGACAUGGAGCACCAUCUCUGGGGGGAAAGAGGAGUUAAUCUUUGCAAGAACUACUGAAAACAAUUUAAGUGUUGUGUGUUGUGUUGCUGACUGGUUAAAAAUGAGGAGUGUUCAGACAAACAGCGUUUAACCUCUGCAAAUCCAUGGAUCUGUCUGACCCUGUCACACUUAUCAGUUUAAGAGCGUUGAAUUAUAAAUGAGAUGCCUGAUGUAAAACAAAAGAGUCUCAGAAUACUCCAGUAUGUUGACCCAGUUUCUGACUGCCAAGUCAGAAAGAGUGUACAGCUACUACUCUGGGAUCUUCCACUUCCCAACUCCAAACACACGAGACUACAGGAUUACCUCAUGAAGCUCUGCCUGUGAGACUUGUGCUGCAUGAUGUAUUUAAACUUCAUUAUGUGGUUGGAGAUAAGCUGUUAGGAAUGAGAACAGAACAAUUGUAUUUCACUUUCCUAAGUGAAAUUCAACUCUAUUAAAGAAGUAAUACUCUAGGUGAGAUAUUUUUGAAAGGAAUUUGUUCUACAAAGUUUAGAUAGUAUUUCUGUACCAAACAUUUAAUUCAACAAAGGAUUGGUUACAUCAAAAGUGAUCGAAUUUGAACAGAAAGUAAACAAAAAUGCAUAUUCAAGAUAGUUUAAUAUGUAUUUUCUGAAUUAGAAAUAUCACUUUCUUAAAUGAAUGAGAAUCUCUAGUGUAAUGAUCCGUUACUCCCCUCCCCCAUCACUGAAUUACAUUAUUUAUACAUAUAAUACAGAGCCGAUUGCCGUUGAAAACAACAAUAUUAAAAUAAAUGUUUAAUAGAUACAAAGGAUCUUUUCUCCACAACAUAGUUUUUCUGGUGUCUGAACACCAAUUUUAAAGUAAUUCUCUAUUAGCAUUAAACUAUUUAAGUGCAAAACAAUUUUGUUUUAAAAAAAUCUAUGAUUGCAGCAUCCAUCUUCCUGAAUAACAUUUUGAAGCCAGAAAGUAAUGACUUUCAUUUUCCAUGAGUGCAUUCCAGGCUGUCUUCUAGCCAUCUCUGGUUAAAAAAAUCAGUGCAAAAUAAACAAUGGUGAAGUACUAGUUUAACCAUUGAACUUACUUGAAUUUAAGAAACAUAUCUUAUUUUACACUAUAUAUAUAUAUAUCUUUUAUUUAUAUAUUUAUAUAGAGAGAUUAAAUUACACUGGACUUGAAAAGUAUAAAGAAAACCAAAUAUGUUACUACUUUUUCCUGCAGCACCAAAGGAAGCUUUUUGCUUUUUCUCCAAUGCAAACUCUUCCUUGGGUGAGCAGCCUACUAGGAUCGGCUGUAGUGAGAACCCAUUGCAUUUGUCCUUUGCAAGUCACUAUGUGAUUCACAUAAUUCCAUGUUUACACUCUGCCACAUUAAAAUUUGUGAUGCUCUUUGCCUGAAGAACAGCUCCUGGUUCCACUGUCAUUACUUCUUGUCCUGCGUUCAGAGAUUUGCUAGCAGUAGUGUGAUGGCUAUACUACAGUUCCACUUGGAGAAUUGGCCUGGUUUUGGGAUGACAAUAAACCCUGCAAACAAAGCAGUUUACAUUAAUCCAGCAAGAGAACCUGACAUGUAUUUUAUAAAGUUCUUAACCUGAACCUACAAUAAGUACAAUUUAUUUUUACCACCACUUGCUUACUCCAGACAUCAGCACCUUCUUCUACACAGGCUCUAAGCCACCACGGUCUCAGCCAAGCAGCACACAAAGAGCUCUCAGUUGGGAACAAAACGUGUGCGUUUAGGACACGGAAAGGAUCUGAUCCCAGCAUUUGGUUUAAUCUACCUUGCACUUUUGAGUCAUUGUGAACUGUGAAACUUUAAAAAUCAUCCACCAAAAAAGUGAUCAGCAUUUUAUUAGGGCAGUGACAAACAAACCUAUUCCACUAUCAACAAGUUUGACACCUGACCGGACAGGGAAACGCUCCAUCUCUUUUAUGUGAUCGAGUAUUACAAGCUUUGGAUAGAAAAAUACAUAAUCUAACCAAAUAUUUGUUUUGGUGAUUUUAAAAGAGAAUGGAACACUGACAAGAGCUCAGUAAAAGUUUCCCAUGACAAUUCAAGCUCACAUUCAGGAAAGCUUUUUACCAGCUGCUUUAAGCACCCUGCCAUUCAAAUCAAGAGAGACCUGUUCCAUUUCAGACACAGCCCCACGACUGCGCGGCCCCCUCGCUACACAGGGGCUACUGCUCUGGAUCAAGGCAACUAUACCUAUGGAUAGACCUGUGGAUACCAAUGGACAGACUGCAUUUCAGAUUUGUGCACAGUAGCCCCUUUUUAAUCAUUCAUGUAGAAGUAACUGUUUAUCAGACUUAUUUAGGAAAAGCUUAAUAUCAAAAUACAAUUUAGCGUUCUUUCAAGGUCAUUAUUUAGUUCUAACGAGUGCCAGCAGGCUGAGGAGCACUGGCAGCUGGAAGCACACCAGAGACUAUCCCCAUGCAACUCCUCACCAUGUAGGCAUGAUAAAUGCACUUUCAGCAACUCCCCUAAGCAGCUCCCAUCUUAGGUCCUUACCUCAAAAUUAGGAUCCCGGGACUCAGAUCCAUCAAACUAGACAAGCUCAGGCAGCAAUUAGCAUACAAGUUAGAAUUAUGUCCCAUCUUCAGAAUCUACAGGAGCUCUUUCAUGCUUGGAUCCAAGAAAUGAGAGGCCAUGACUGAUGGAAGAGGUGGAAAGAGGGCCAGACUGGCUGGAUUCAAGUCAUCAAGUUUCUACUAAAACCAAAGCCCUUCCUUUUAAAAAACCAUCUGAUCUACCAGUUCAGACACGUUAUGAACCUGGAUAGUUUGCUGGAUUUAUAGCAGACUCUGGAUCUGUAUACAUGUGCAUACAUUCCAUAUUUAUAAUAAACAUGUAUUUCUAAUAAAAGAUGUGGCACUUAAUUUAGUGCCCUCCAUAGAUCUCACCUGAAGGAACUCGGACACUCACUUUUAUUUGUACUCAGGUUUAUGCAGGGGUUUUGUGAUUCUCACACUGCUGAGGUAGACUGAAGUGGGUUGUUUUUUGCACUUGACAUUCAGGCUGUGCAAAGAUACUGCAUAUUUAAUGAGAACAAGAAGCUUCUUAGUUAUUAGUUAAGGACUAGAUGGUGAAAGAAGGCAGAACUUUAGAGCAAACAAGCCACUGAAGCACUUAUGAAAUUUUUUACCAAGGAAGUUUUGUUGGAAAGUGAUGAGGAUGAAUCAGAACUCUCUAGUUCAUUACUGAAGCAUUCUUCACAAGUCUAUUAAAUCCAGCAGCAACUGGAAGGUCUUUCUUGCCAGAAGAUUACAUCCACUAAACAACUUUCAAGUACCCUGGAAAAAGACGUCCAAAGGUAUUAUUUUCAGUCUUUAACAAAUCAGCAAUCCAAACUAUUCAUAUGCAAAUAUGUGCUUUAUAAGCACACAGGAAGCACUAGGGAUGGCAUGAUAUCAAGUCUUUUUCAACAGGCUCAUAACCACACUAGAGAGAGGGAGAAAUAACCACUAUCCUAGUAUUGGAUUUAUGCUGUAACACAACUAGUUUUUGGGAAACAAAAGAAAGAGUCAUUCAUUUUCCUAGAAUUCCUCUAGAAACUGGCAGCACAUACUGAAAUUCAAUGCAGUGCCUUAUUCUCCAUAACUACCAGCCACCCUGGAAUUCAAGUUCCAAAUGCAGGAACAUGGAGUCAGUCCUGGUUUCAUCUCCCAGGCCACAAAUGCUCCCUGCUUUAAAGAGCAGCAGUGCAGAUGGCUUUGAGUGAGUCCUAGGAACUCCCACUAUUUCAGUCCUUGCUCUGAAUUAAUUCUGCAACUCUGAGCAGGCAAGCCAGAGGAACACUGCUGUGGAAAUGAUCUCAAGAUCAAUAUCCUCCUGCUCUUGCUGAUGGAAAAAAACUUAGCAAGUCCUUCCUUAAAAUGUGGGACCAGGCUACAACAGCCAUUCAGAACUUCACUCCCACUGGAGAGACCAGAAAGUCUAUGAGCAUUUCCAAGUACUUCAUUUCAAAAGACAUAUGUUCAUAUAAGAAAAGCAAGAAUAUCAAUUUGGUUUUUAGGCACAGAAGUUUCACCAAAAUGGUGAAAGCUCUUCAUGUAUCCUGAGAAACAACAAAGAUUGUACAGAAUUUUGCCAUUAUACCAGAGCCAAGCAAGGCUAUGAAAGAAGUUAUGUCAGGUGUAACAGGAAACUUUAAACACAAUGUUAGAAAAGCAAGUGAGGGCUCAAAUAAAAUUAUUCUUUUGCUACAAAGGUUGCCCUAUAAGAGUCUGGUCUGUAAUACAAAGGGUAUGGGACUAGAACAGUUGUAAUUGUGUUCUCUGGAAUAAUACAAUGGGUAAGGUUAUGAAAAAUAUAAAAAGCUCCUGCCUGUAACUAAAGAAUAAAGCCACAAGGGCACAGUGCCUGCUGUGAUGGAACCACCCAGUCUGGUCAACGAGGUGGGAAAAGAUGGAACAGAGGCUGCAGCAACUUACUGGGGCAACAGCCAAGCUGCCCCAUUGAACAGCUGUGACAGGAACAUGGAAGAGCAGAGCAUUGGCAGCCACAGCUCUGCCAGGCAGUGCAGCAGCUUCAGGCUCUGGGACAAACAUAGCCCACUGAGAAAGCAGCACAAAUAAAUUAAGAGACUGCUCAAAAAGGUUUUGGAAAUAAAUGUAGUGUUGUAGUAAGUCUGUCAGCCCGUGGAUCUAGCAGGGGGUGGGAAAUGGAAGAGUUAUGAGAUACAAGGCAGGAAUUUGAUAAAACAAUGUUCAUCUCAACCUCGGAGGGUCCUCCAAGUGGGUGCUACCCCAUCUGCCAUCUUAGUGGACACUGCGGAUGAUGAACGACAGGAUGGUGUCACUUUUCCUCAGUCAAUGAGCACUGAGUACUGAACAGAGGCUGUGUCAGCAGUAGCUGCUGGGGCUAUCCAUGUUUCUCCAUGCAUUCUCUGACUUCCUGAAACACACAGGACUUUGCAUACCUGGUAAAAACAGGCUUGUGUGGGUAGGAAUGAAAAGCCCCAACAAACAGGAUCGGGAGGGUCAUUUGCACCCGAGGUUCAGGGCACUCAGAGCUGUGGUCUGAGGACCUGCAGCAAAGACAAACCCUCCUCCCCAUUCAGGAGACUGCAUGGGUAGGUAUUUUUUUAAAAAUUCCACAUACACUCCAGAUGAAAGUCUGGCUUUUUUUCAAAAGACAUGAAACAUAAGGUUUCACAGCAGAAACUAAUUCUGUGAAAGAUCAGCGUGUAAUUGCUGCAUUAAAAACAAAAACCCAGGAAGAUACUAUGAUACUUCUAAGUGGGGAAAAAAGUCAACAGUAACUCCUGAGUUAAUAUUUUCUUCACUUAAAUUAGAAGAGAUUUAAUUGGAGCCAA